AUUGAACGCUGGCGGCAUGCCUUACACAUGCAAGUCGAACGGCAGCACGGGAGCAAUCCUGGUGGCGAGUGGCGAACGGGUGAGUAAUAUAUCGGAACGUGCCCAGUCGUGGGGAUAACGUAGCGAAAGCUACGCUAAUACCGCAUACGAUCUAUGGAUGAAAGCGGGGGAUCGCAAGACCUCGCGCGACUGGAGCGGCCGAUAUCAGAUUAGGUAGUUGGUGAGGUAAAGGCUCACCAAGCCGACGAUCUGUAGCUGGUCUGAGAGGACGACCAGCCACACUGGGACUGAGACACGGCCCAGACUCCUACGGAGGCAGCAGUGGGGAAUUUUGGGACAAUGGGCGCAAGCCUGAUCCAGCAAUGCCGCGUGCAGGAUGAAGGCCUCGGUGUAAC
rnacentral:rRNA from 1 species